GUCCACGCUGUAAACGAUGUGUGCUAGACGUUGGGGAGCCUAGCUCUUCGGUGUCGCAGCUAACGCGGUAAGCACACCGCCUGGGGAGUACGGCCGCAAGGUUAAAACUCAAAGGAAUUGACGGGGGCCCGCACAAGCGGUGGAGCAUGUGGUUUAAUUCGACGCAACGCGAAGAACCUUACCAGCCCUUGACAUGUCCGGUAUUAGCGGGGGAGACCUCGUUCUUCAGUUCGGCUGGCCGGAGCACAGGUGCUGCAUGGCUGUCGU
rnacentral:rRNA from 1 species